GAUGAACGCUGGCGGCGUGCCUAAUACAUGCAAGUCGAGCGAACAGACGAGGAGCUUGCUCCUCUGACGUUAGCGGCGGACGGGUGAGUAACACGUGGAUAACCUACCUAUAAGACUGGGAUAACUUCGGGAAACCGGAGCUAAUACCGGAUAAUAUAUUUAACCGCAUGGUUCAAUAGUGAAAGACGGCUUUGCUGUCACUUAUCGAUGGAUCCGCGUCGCAUUAGCUAGUUGGUAAGGUAACGGCUUACCAAGGCAACGAUGCGUAGCCGACCUGAGAGGGUGAUCGGCCACACUGGAACUGAGACACGGUACAAGCUCCUACGGGAGGCAGCAGUAGGGAAUCUUCCGCAAUGGGCGAAAGCCUGACGGAGCAACGCCGCGUGAGUGAUGAAGGUCUUCGGAGCGUAAAACUCUGUUAUUAGGGAAGAACAAAUGUGUAAGUAACUAUGCACGUCUUGACGGUACCUAAUCAGAAAGCCACGGCUAACUACGUG
rnacentral:rRNA from 1 species